GGAAGGGUGCGUGAGUGGUUGAAACGGCACGCCUGGAGAGCGUGUAGGGUUAACAGCCCUCGCGGGUUCAAAUCCCGCCCCUUCCG
rnacentral:tRNA from 1 species